rnacentral:lncRNA from 1 species
GAACACACUCACCAUGUUUGCAUCCAGGCUGUGCAAAGGCCAGAAUGCGAGGAUUUCCAGAUUGAGCUGGACAGUGUGAGAGCUCAGGCCACACGCAGCGCUCUCAUCCUCGCCCAUGGCAGCUCAGCACUGCGUGCCUCCAAGGAACAGCUGCUCGCCCACCUGGAGGGAGACAUCAUGGGCAGCAUCCUGCUGCUCUACAGCUGCAGCUGCUGGAACUUGCUGAAGAAGUAUUUCUUGGGCAACCCCGUCUCCCCAGUGCCCCUCAAGGUGGUUCUGGCCCUGGAGCAGUUGAGGUAAGGGCCAGGUAAGUCUGUUUGAGGUGAAAAUUACUCAGUUACA